rnacentral:lncRNA from 1 species
AGAUGGCGUCGCUCCCGGGGCAGGACUUUCAGGGCCUCGCGUCGGAACCCCGCUGAGGAGAGUCCGAGAGAGCCGCAAGCCUCCCCGCGGUGCGCCGCCCUCCGGAGACGAGCGGACGUGGACUGCCUCAGGGACUCCUAAGAAGGCCACUGGGGCUGCGAGAGUCCCGCCAAACCCAGGUGCGGACAGUAGGUAUGCUGAGCCAGGACCAAACGUCCUGAACGAGAAGUCGCCCGAAGGGGACCUGGACCUGUGGCUCAAUUGGCACAGUGCUUGUCUGGCAUCUUCCGGGCCCAGGGUUCGAUUCCUACGUGUUGCGCAGGCUGUAAGCCCAGCAUUCUGGAAGCGGAGGCUAGAGGAUCAGAAGUUCAAGGUCAUCUCAUCCAAUUGGAAGCCAGCCUGGGCAAGACACCUUAUCGACCAAAAAUAAAUAAAUAAAUAAAUAAAUAAAUAAAUAAAUAAAUAAAGUUUAAA